rnacentral:rRNA from 1 species
GAUGAACGCCGGCGGCGUGCCUAAUACAUGCAAGUAGAACGCUGAAGGAGGAGCUUGCUCUUCUGGAUGAGUUGCGAACGGGUGAGUAACGCGUAGGUAACCUGCCUGGUAGCGGGGGAUAACUAUUGGAAACGAUAGCUAAUACCGCAUGACAACAGUUAUUGCAUGAUAACUGUUUAAAAGGGGCAACUGCUCCACUACCAGAUGGACCUGCGUUGUAUUAGCUAGUUCGUGAGGUAACGGCUCACCAAGGCGACGAUACAUAGCCGACCUGAGAGGGUGAUCGGCCACACUGGGACUGAGACACGGCCCAGACUCCUACGGGAGGCAGCAGUAGGGAAUCUUCGGCAAUGGACGGAAGGCUGACCGAGCAACGCCGCGGGAGUGAAGAAGGUUUUCGGAUCGUAAAGCUCUGUUGUAAGAGAAGAACGAGGGUGAGAGUGGAAAGUUCACACUGUGACGGUAUCUUACCAGAAAGGGACGGCUAACUACGUG